ensembl:snRNA U6 U6 spliceosomal RNA
CUGUCUGUACAAUGAGCACGUAUACUAAAACUGGAAUGAUACAGAGAAGAUUAGCAUGGGCCCUGCACAAGGAUGACACACAAAUUCAUGAAGCGUUCCAUUAAAAA